GAGCUCUGGCGCUUUUUAAACGGAUUUAGAGCGACCUCAGGCUCCCAGCCCUCCUCCUCCUUCUCCUUCUCCUCCUCCUUCUCUCAAUGGAGCUCCGAGACUCUGGCAAGUCUCCAAAUCUCCACACAGACAACCCAUGCAGCCGUUAAUGAUCUGGAUCCCAAGGAGCACGACCUGCAGGACGCCCAGACCUAGUAGGAUGGAGAAGAGAACGAUGUGCCAGAGGACUGCAUUUUCCGGGAAAGCACAGACAGACCACUGAGAUUUAUCCACCAAGUAGCUGGUAUUACUGCAGACAGAGAAAGAGAAAAAGUAGAUCAUAUAAGUUGUGCAUUCAGAUAAUUAAAAUUUCAAUCAGGAUUAUUCAGAGCUAAAGCAUUCAGUGUACUCAAUUUAUACACACCAAUAAAAUAUGUCUGUGAAAAGAUUUUUUUUUGGUAUUUGGCAUCAGUAGCACACUCACACAUAGAUAUAAGUACUUAACCAAGAAUAUAAUUAAAACCGUAUUUAUUUGACUUGAGUCUAGGGCUCAGUUACUCUUGGGGCAGGUUCUCAAAGGGAUAUUCCCAGGUCCCUGAGUCCAGGCGGCAUUUUGGUCCAAUAGCCAGUGCUGCAGAGGCCACGCUGGUGUUGUAUGUUGCCCCAAUUAGACCAAAUGCAGAGGAAAACACAGAGCUCAGCAUCUACAGACAUGUAGAUAGUCAGAUGUAGAUACACAUUUGGCUUAAUAACAUUCUUAAUACAAUGGUUGUUCUCAAAUGGCCUGUGUAUUAGUGUAGUUAAAUAGUGCUAUGCCUAAAACUAAACCUCAGUAACUGUAAUUAAAUAUUUGGGCUGCACUAGUUCUCAAAAUUACAGCUUUGCACAAGCUUGCAAAUGGAAAAGGUCACACUGAGUUGAUUACUGAUUUACAAAGAUUGAUUUGUGGAACAUUGUAGGCUACUUACUAUUCAAAUAUCAGUUCACUUUGUUUCAGCUUUCAGAGUUACAAUUUUUCCUUUUGUCCAGAUCUACAAGAAUUGAACUUUUUCCCCCCAAUUCAGUAGUUUUACUCACGCGGCAACGAUUUCCACAGCAGCCCUUCCCACAGCAACCCUUUCCACCAGCUCUGACAGCCGAGCAGCUUGGACACAGCAUCUAAUGGACAAUGAAAUAUCAUUAAAUAAAAAUAUAAAAUGACUUGUACAAUGAGAGUUAUUAUAUCUGUUAUAAAAUAAGUGCUUACACUGUG